rnacentral:lncRNA from 1 species
AUAAAAUCGUGUACUCGGCUUUAAAGAUAAUAUAAUUCUUAUUCACUGAUUAAUGGACUCCUUACGAAUUUGUUAUAUUAUUUACCAGUUACAAUAUUUACCGGUUACAAUACUAUAAAAUCGUGUACUCGGCUCUCGAACGCACAAUUACAAGCUUAGUAACACUAUUUAUCAGACCAUUGCACUGGUAUUACUACAGUAUUACACCCUUACAAUGCUUCGUUGCACUUUUUUUUAAAUCCAUUGCACUGUUAUGAAUCCUUAUUGCACUCUUACCAGCUUCGUUGCACUCUUUCGUAAACUAUUAUUCUGUUAUUCACACUACCUUGCACUAUUAUUCGCAUUUAACUAUGGACUUACUUAUUUUACAAUAGAAAGAAGGCGUGAGCUUUUAUGAGAAACUUUACAUAAUUAUUUUUCUUAAAUCGUUUAGCAGUUAUGUCACACCUCUCGAACUGCGUACCCGCCGGCGACCGUCUGGCCCCGCUGACACUUAUCUUCUUCAAUCGUUUAGCAGUUAUCUCGCACAUCGCGGACCGUCCUGCCCCGCAGCCAACCGUGCAGCGCCGCCGACGCUUCGCCUACAUUUGGAGGGGACGUCGUUCAUUUGCACUUUUAACUUCAGAUUAUAUUAAUAAAUAAGUAAAGUAAAAUUUUGAUUGGGUAUGUCGAGGUUGCACUGGAGCUAGACUAGGGAUGCACUGUUAGAAGGUCGGUUGCACCAUUUUUCGUGGCGUUGCUCCAUUGCGUUGCACUAUUAUCCCUGUUGCGGGGCGUGCAGUUUUUGUCAUUUAGCUUCGAAAAUUUUAUUAGUAAAGCCGAACAGCAAACAACGGGGCCGGCGAAUAGGGCGGCGGAUGUGGUCCGGGUUCCGAUAAAUGAGAGAGGUUGCGUAAGGCGGAAGCGGCGCAUUUAAUGCGUGCCAGACUGUACGGCUGGGUAGUAUAUGUAUGUUAAGAAAUACGCGGGAGGCUAUUAUACACGAGGGGCAUUUUGGUCAGUUUACUUAAAGAGCGGAUCGAAUCUGCAAAAACGAAAAAAGUGGCCCGAUUUUGCAAAAGCCCAAAAUAAGUGGAUUUUUUAUGCAAAUUGGACAAAAAGUUAUGAAGAAGAAAAGAUAUUCAAGCAGGUUCACUGUUUAAUUAGUAUUUUCACUUGCAAAAGAUAAUCAAUCCGACUAUUUGAUGAAUAU